GGCUCUGUGGCACAAUGGAUAGUGCAUUGGACUUCUAGGCUGUGAGCUGAGCCAUUCAAAGGUUGUGGGUUUGAGUCCCACCAGAGUCG
rfam:Danio rerio unplaced genomic contig CTG2934, GRCz11 reference primary assembly.